rnacentral:rRNA from 1 species
GGACGAACGCUGGCGGCGUGCUUAACACAUGCAAGUCGAACGGUGAAGCGCCUUCCUUUUUGGUGGGUGUGGAUGAGUGGCGAACGGGUGAGUAACACGUGAGUAACCUGCCCCCUUCUUCUGGAUAACCGCAUGAAAGUGUGGCUAAUACGGGAUAUUCUGGGUCUGUCGCAUGAUGGGUCUGGGAAAGAUAUUGUUUCGGUGGGGGAUGGGCUCGCGGCCUAUCAGCUUGUUGGUGGGGUGAUGGCCUACCAAGGCGGUGACGGGUAGCCGGCCUGAGAGGGCGGACGGUCACACUGGGACUGAGACACGGCCCAGACUCCUACGGGAGGCAGCAGUGGGGAAUAUUGCACAAUGGGCGCAAGCCUGAUGCAGCGACGCCGCGUGAGGGAUGGAGGCCUUCGGGUUGUGAACCUCUUUCGCCAGUGAAGCAGGCCUGCCUCGUUUGUGGGUGGGUUGACGGUAGCUGGAUAAGAAGCGCCGGCUAACUACGUG